rnacentral:misc_RNA from 1 species
UCGUCCAAUUUAAACUUCCGUAAUGGUUAAGUCAACUUUUCCCAGCUGAAACAAACGAGCGAAAGAGUAAUGGACGAGCCAUCUCUACGACUUCGACAGGCCCUGGACAAGUUUAUCAAACAUGUCGACGACUUGAUCGAAGAGGAGGACCCCGCCGGAAAUGGUUUUCACCGAGAAUACAGGGUGAGUUUGACACCUCGGACAUAGGUGACUUAACAGUGUGUGCAUGUACCCCCCACAUUACGCCUGAAAUCACGAUACCCGCAUUAGAAUUCUGAAAGGAAGGGUCAACAAAGGUUCUUCUUUCUUUAAGAGGGUGUCAGUUUUAUAGAAAUUGUGGAAUAUUUGUUGGUGUGCCGAUUAGUCAGGUUUGUUUACGAAGAGCGAGUUUGCACGAGUUAUGCCCCGUUUUGUUUUUUUACCUGGUCCAAUACACACCUGCCGAGAUAUCUACAGACCGUGAAGCUACUGUUGUUGUCGAUUCAGAUAUGUACCCUGGCUAAACUUAUCUAUAGGGCCUAGUCAUCAUAUGCGAUACCUAUGUAAAUUGAUGGGAUAACUAUUAACUAGGACACAAGCUGUAAUAAAGGGAUGAAUAUAAAAAGCUGAUAGUCAGUAUAUGAUAGUGAUAAGUAUGUGUUUACUUCCUCCUUGAUCCCAGUGGCACCCACACCUAACAGAAUGUCUCUGUACUUUGCUUCUGCAUAUCAAAGCCCACUAGCUUCUACCACAUGCACAGAU